GACAGAGGGGGCAAGCGUUGCUCGGAAUUACUGGGCGUAAAGGGCGCGUAGGCGGGAUGGCAAGUCGGUCGUGAAAUCCCUCGGCUCAACCGAGGAACGUCGAUCGAUACUGCUGUUCUUGAGGAUUGCAGAGGAGACUGGAAUUCCCGGUGUAGCGGUGAAAUGUGUAGAGAUCGGGAGGAACACCGGUGGCGAAGGCGGCUCUCUGGGCCUGUCCUGACGCUCAGGCGCGAAAGCUAGGGGAGCAAACAGG
rnacentral:rRNA from 1 species